AUUACAUUUAAAUAUAGCUUUUUGCCAAAAAAAGAAGUGUAACACUUAUUAAAAUACGGCCACAUUUAGUAAGUGUAACACUUAUCAAACACGGAGGGAGCACAUCUUAUCAUGUGUUGUCUUUUUUGUAGGGCUGGAUAUACGAGAUCAAAUUUCAUCUGCAUUGUGUAUGUACUUUAAAUGUUAUAUUUUUAAUUAUUUGCAUAGAUAUCUUCUAAUAUACCACCAAGAUGCCUUCUUUAGAAUAUUGCAGCAUUCUUGGGGCUCUCCAAUGAGUGAAUUAUGUUUACUUUCAGGAAGAACUUGAAAAGGAGGGGAUAUGGGACUUUGACGGUUAAGUUGUCCAUACAUUCGACAAGAGUUUUUAUAGGAGUAAUUUGGCUCUUCUUGGACGGUUUUCCUAAACGAAUGUCAAAAGGGGCAUUUUGAGAAAAUUAGUUGUUGACCUUUUUCUUGGAAGCGGGCCUAAUGCAAAGCUUAAGAAAGGUGAAUUUAUGGAAGCUGCUAAAAUCAGACUUCGAAAGGAGCCCAGUAAUAUUGAAUUUCAGAAGGUCACAACUGAAUUAUGUGUAUCAAAGGGAGGGGCUUGGGUGCUAAAAAGUGGCGAUGGAGUACCUAGAUGACUGUCAACUUAUUUUGAAGACGAUGUAGUUGUAGAGGAUGCAAGAAUACCAGUUUUGUCGCUGCUGAUAUUGUCCAGCA